ensembl:snoRNA LOC120102726 small nucleolar RNA SNORA17
GCUGUCCCUAGAGGUGUUACAGAUGUGGCAGAGCAGAGAGGAGCUCUGUCUGUCCUCAGUGCUCUGACCUGCAAACCUCUGAAUGAUUAGUAGCCUAACACU